CGCGGCCGGCACACAGAUUCAUCAUAUUGCCCACAAUGGAGGAUUAUAUAAAAGACCCUUCAAUGAAGCUUUUGAGGAAACACCAAUGCUGGUUGCUGUGCUGACCUACGUAGGCUAUGGUGUUCUCACACUUUUUGGGUAUCUACGGGACUUCCUGAGGCAGUGGAAAAUUGAAAAGUGUCACCAUGCAACAGAAAGAGAAGAACAGAAGGCCUGACUUCCUGAAUAAACUUCAG